rnacentral:rRNA from 1 species
UACGUAGGGGCCGAGCGUUGUCCGGAGUUAUUGGGCGUAAAGCGCGCGCAGGCGGCCUCGCGCGCCCGACGUGAAAGCCCCCGGCUUAACCGGGGAGGGUCGUUGGGGACGGCGGGGCUUGAGGGCGGGAGAGGUCGGUGGAAUUCCCGGUGUAGUGGUGAAAUGCGUAGAUAUCUGGAGGAACACCGGUGGCGAAGGCGGCAUCCUGGACCGGUAUUGACGCUGAGGCGCGAAAGCCAGGGGAGCAAACGGG